UCAAGUUAAUGAAAAUACAUGGGCUAGGUUCAAGUUGUAUUUGAGAUCCAAAACAAGCAAUAAGUCGUGUGAAUCAUAAAUCUCUAUGGAAUCUUGGUUAAAAUUGGCAAGCUUUCAUGUGAUUUGCAAAUCAAAUCUCUCUACCAUAAUCACAAGAUUGAUCUCACAAAUACUGACCUAAAAGUACUUGCAUAGAUAUUAACAGAAAAAUCAUAGAAAAGGAGGAUUUUUGGGUGCCGCGAAAAAACUCUGACCGAACUCAGAAACCGUGCGCAAGGAGGAAUAGAGAUUGAAGUUUCAGAUCGAUUCAAGCCAAACAAAUAAUCUCAUUCAAUUCUCCAAAGCUUUCUGGGCGUGAUACAAUCCAUAUUGUUGACUGAAGCAAGCCAAUUCGCGCAUACUAUUACCACGGUUUGCUACGGUUUACUGUAUUUUCAAUCAUCACGAUUCAUGCAUCAUAUAUAUGUUUUAAAGCUAUAGUAUUGGUCGUAUGAGUACGUAGACCGUUUCUGGGCUGUUCUUUUCAAGGUUUGAUGCAGAUACCAUGGAACACCAUGGUUAGGGUUUCGGCCAUAUGAUUUGGGGACGGAGGUUGGAGGCAAAAUCGUCCAAAAUCGAUGAUACCGUUGGAUUCAUUGGGCAAUUUCCAUUCGAUCUAUGCCGUUAAUUUUUAUUUACCAUCUAUUUUUGUUAAGCUUUGAUUCGCAGGAGGCUAUGGAGCCCAAACCGUGGCCGCAUCUUCGCGAGGAAGAAGAACAAGAGCGCUGAGUUUUUUUUAUAAUUAUUAACGUCGCUUGAUUAUCCAUAUAGACCGUGUUCCAAUUCAAUAACAGCAAACGAAGCUUGGUGCGAUGGUUGAAGCAAGGGACCAGAGUAACGUGCAUGAAGGCGUGGGUUCGAAACUGGCCUCGUGCGUUCUUUAUUUUCUUUUACUUGUCUCUUUAUCAUCUAAUUCAAUGUUACGCUUGGAUGUGAGACCAACAUGAGCCCUCACCUCACAGCCGCUAGAUCAUAUAUGGACCAGAUCCAACGAACGAAGGACUGCAAGUCCACCAUGAACCCUCACAGGCUUGCCACACCUGAUUAUUACGCUAAGUUUUUUUAACUUUUUCUUAUUUUUAUUAUUUUAUCUUCUUUAUUUAUAAUUAGUUUUUAAUUUUUUAUAUAAAAAAAAAAGACUUUUUCUUCUUUUUUUUUUAAAUCAUAAAUUCUCUUAAACUUUUUAUUUUUGUUAUUUUUAUUUAUCUAAUUUAUAAAUAUAAUUUUAGGGUUAAUUAGGUUUUAAUUUUAAUUAAAUAAUUUUAAUUAAUAUUUAACCUUAAGAAAAUAACUUAGAUUUGAUUAAUUAAUUUAAAUAAUUAGGUUAAUUAAUUAGAUAAAUAAAUUAGGAUUAAUUAGGUUAAAAACCAAUAACUAAUUAAUUCAAUUUUAUUUAUUUAUUCUAUUAACCAUGUUUAAUUUUUGUCCGAAUCAGGAUUUUCGAGAAUUUGCCCUACACUAAAAAUAUUCUUUUGUGUAUUCUUUUCAGGGUUAGCAACAGGAUUUCCCCCGAUUACGCGCCACGUCAAAGAACGAAGCUAAGUUCUAAUUCCUUCUUACUUAAUAUUUUUCGCCUAUUAUUUUGUUUUAAUUAGGGUUCAUUUUAAAUGCCAAUGAACUGUCUGUACACUCACGCCUUGUCGUUUCUUCUUUCAAUUCUCAAUGGUCAGAGUCAAUGCUUCAGGAAAACCUUUGCCCACCAACCCUGGCAAGGCAAACGCCAAGCUAAGUACACUUUAUUCAUUUACUUUUAGCUACGAGUAUUGGUAACCCUAAACCCUGAUAUUUCUUAUCGUUUAUUAUUACUUAUGUCAAACCCUAUUAAGGGAUCCGCUGGUUUCAUUGUCCCCUUCCCCAUAUUGCUAUUGUUAUUGCUUUAUGUUAUACUGCGUGGUUAGUAAAAUAGGGAGUGCAACCAUGAACUGAACAUAGAUCACUAAUAAUUACAAGAUAAUGUAUUUCGAAUUGAACCACAUGAUUGUUGCACCCACGCACACUUUUGGGGUAAUCUCUCUGUUGCCUUGUUGCCUGUUGCCUUUGUGUUUUUUGCAGAAUAGCCUGUCCCUCGAAUACGAGGAUACCUCAGCCGUGUUGCCUCGAUUAAGAUCAUGGUCCCUAAUGAUGCUGCCUUCGAUACACAUGAUCUCGACCCUCGGAAGUUGCCUUUGAAAAGGCUGAGGUAUCUUCUGGUUGCCUACAAAGAGGCUAUUCUGAUCCUUCCCUUUAGACUACCUGCCUCUCUAUGGCAUGGGACAGUUUUAAGGCGAACGAUAACUCGAUGACCCGUUAACAUCCAAACGAAAGGCUUUCUGCCCUCUUAUGGCACGAAUAGACCCUUUCAUCCCGAAAGGCUAAAAGAAACUUUGUUUUCGUCAAACUAUAAGGUAAUUGCUCCUAAUUUCCUUGUUCUGGCUUAUCUCUUUUCAUCUUUUUCUCAAAACAAACACUCUCAAGGCUACGCUCAUUUACGAGCUAAAGUCCCUGAGUUUCUUUUCUUCUUUUCUUUUCAAACGAGCAAAGCAAUUAAGAGCCCAUGGAAAACCAUGGAUGCAAAGGGUGCCUUACACCCUCCCUUUGCAUAAAUUACCCCCCGAACCCUAUUUUCUCUAAAAGGUUUUUUCUGUUUCUUUUAGCCUUUCUAACUUGUUUGGAUAAAAUAAAAGUCGGUGGCGACUCUUGCUUAACCGCGACAUUUUUGAUUAAAAAGGUCAAUUCACCGUAUUACACCCUAGUAUCUAUAUUGAACACAAGGCAUAGAAUGCGUCACCCUUGUAUAGCUCAAUAUUUUAUUCCUUGAUCCCCGAGUAUACUUGAUAACAACAAAUAAGCCAUAUAUCUGAUAUCGACUAAUUUGAGCACGACCGUGCAUUUUACAGUCAUACUCUAUCACUCAUGUCCCUCAUAUAGGAGGGGCCAAUCACAUUUAUGUCACUUAUGUCCCUCAGCAUGCUUUAUAAAGUACCCAUCAACCAUCUUUAUUGAUCAUUUUGUUACAGACAAUGUUUGAUUGGCAAUAAAGUACUCGACUCCACAUCUAGGGUCCAUAGUGGUUCCAGGUCGAAGGAUGAUAUACACCACUAUCACAAUGAGAAUAACUUAUGACACUUACAUAAGAAACUAUGUAGUAUUCUCAUGGUGGGUCAACCCAGUAUAAAUAUUACUCAUAAUAUUUACACCGAUGUGAAGUCUUAAUAUCUCAUAUCCAUGACCGGUCAGUCUACUACCAUAAUAGUCUUUAUGUGUUAUUGUUGUUUUAUUUGACAGUAAAGCUUGACCAAAUAUAUUUUAAGAAUAAUGUCCUUAUGUUUAAUAAAGUCUCACGAUUAAGUCACACUUAAUAGGUCAUUAAUACACUAAUUAUUCUAAAGACUUUAUUAUGACAUAUACAAAUAACAUAAUAAAUACAAUGUCUAAUAAGUAUUUAUAUUAACAAACAAACAAUAUAUAUAUAUAUAUAUAUAUAUAUAUAUAUAUAUAUAUAUAAAAUAUAUAUCAAGGUCAUGAUACAAAAGUAUAUUAAGCCAAUAUUGAUUGGCUAUUAAGGCUUACUCUAACAUUUUUAGCCCAUAGAGAUAUUCAUUCAAUUUGAUGAAGUAGCUUUCUCGAGAUCCAAAAUUAUGUAUCUCUGAUAUAUUAAACCCUUUAGGGAGUUUCAUACAAAUGUCACUAUCAAUUGAGUCAUACGAAUAAGCUAUUACAACAUUCAUCAUGUUCAAAUUAAGUCAUUCAUAUGCUACAUAGAUGAUUAAAUAUCAAAAUUUGAAUUGCAUUCACUACAGGUGUUUAUGUUUCAUCAAAUUUGUAUCCAAUUGGUUUCACACCUUGAGGUGUUCGAACUACAAAAUCGAGUCACUUGUAAAGUGAGUUUAAUUCUUAUUCAAUUAAAUUGUUCAUUUUUGCCAAUUCUCAUUUUGUCUAAAAUCUUUGAUAAACUUUGAUUCAUGGUCCUCAUUAUAUUAUUUAUCACCUUUAGCUCUAUAUUGUAUAUAAAGAUAUUAUUAAUAUUGACUUUAUUUUCGUUCAGUCAUAUUCCAUUCAAUACAUAGUUUAUCGGGAUCUCUUUAUUUUCAUAAAUUUUGGGUAACUGGUUAGUUCUUCUAAAACUCAAAAUAAAUUAUGUCAAGGUACUUGAUCAGUCACGAUUCUCACUAUGUUUUUGUCACUUUCCUGAUGAUAAUCCAGGUAUUUUGCACUGCUUAAUGUCAUAGUUAGGGCUGGACAAGAACCGCUGAACCGGUCCAAACCGCCCGAAACCGAAAAAAAAAAGGAAAUUGGGCGGGUUCAAACAGACCAACGGGUUAGGCGGGUUAAAUUAACGGUUUAAGGGGGUUUUAGUGGGCGGGCCCGGGUAACAUAAACUGAACCGCGGGUAACCAGACCCGCCCAUAGAAUGUAACGACUUGGGAUUUCCACUAACUUAGUGGUAAUACCCAGAGCCCUCAUUUCAUCACCCUCUCUCUCUCUCUCUCUCACUUAAUCUCAGAUCCGACGAAACCCUAGCAGAGUAAAUCCUUUUAGUUCUCUUCUCCUCUCUCUCAACAACCACGAUUUCUCUUCAUCUCUCAUCACUCACCACAACUAUAAGUCACCCUUUCUGUUAUUCUCACUGACCUUCACAAAAAACCAUUGAUCUACUUUGUUCUACCAUUGUUCUUCUACUUGCAAAAGUUUCAGGUUUGUGGUUUUGAUUCGGUUUUAAAGUUUUGUAUGGUUAGGUUUUGCUCAUUAGGGUUUCAGAUAUCUAUUUUGUAUUGUUCUUCUAUAUAGGAAUUUGAUUAAACCUUUGGGAGUUUUGAUUUCUCACUUUGUUAUCUAUUUUAAAUAUCUAUUUGUAUUUUUCUUCUAUGUAGGAAUUUGAUUAAACCUUAAUUUAAUUUAUUCUCCUCUUCGUUUAACAGAUUGUUGGUAACAAAGAUUGUCCAAAAGGGUAACAUUUUCGGCAUGUCGGACCUCGUCAAAAGUAUGUUUCCAAAACCCAUGAAGAUAUGGCUGUAGGACACCAUUCUUGAAAUUGAAAAUGAUGUGUUAACAAUGUUGUUGUUGUCGGUGACAACACACUCGUUUCUUGUUCUUCAGAUACAACCCUUAAGACAUGGAAUGCUUUGUCCACUAAAACUUGUUAGGUGAAGAAUGAUAAUUGCUCGGAUGCUUUAUAAUGAGGGAUCCAGUCAAGAGAUGUUUAAGGUUUCUAUGUGACUCAUGAAAGAAAGCACUCUGUUUAUUUCUACUUGGACCAGAACGUGGUUUUUCUUUUCUAGUUUGGCUAGCCUUGCUUUGAUGGGGACAAAUAGUUGACAACAACUAGAAUUGUCUUGUGAUUAUGUUGCUAUAUAACUUUUCAUUUUGUAUGUAUUAAAUCCACAACACAAACUCACUGCAAGACAUUCUUGUUCUUGUAUAUAUUUAUAGAUUUAAGUUUUCGGUAAUUUGGAUUUAAGUUUAGUAAUUCGUAGCUCAAAAUGUGUUAUUGGGAUCAACCAAAAAUGACUCAAUAACCCGAUUAAACCGUUUGUAUUAACCCGCAACCCGUCGUAACCCAACCCGUCCAAACCCAUUAAAAAAUGAGCAGAAAUGGGCUUAUAGGGUUCAACUGCGGGUUGGGAUGGGUGAGGCUUUUGGGCCCGAAACCGCCCAACCCGGCCCGUUGUCCAGCCCUAGUCAUAGUAUAGUCUUUUUAAGUUUUUUAAGUAUUUAUGAGUGUGUUUGCAAGUUUUUUAAGUCUUUUUAAGUUUUCGAGUUUAUUUUCCCAUUUUAUGCUUUGGUUUGGUUGUUUAAUGAUGCCUCAGAUCUAGAAGAUGGUUCACUCUAUCCAUUGCAAGAAGUGUCGGA